GACCUUGUGGCGUUAUCGGUAGCGCCUCUGACUCCAGAUCAGAAGGUUGCGUGUUCGAAUCACGUCGGGGUCA